UUAUUCAUAACCUUUAGCAUACACUGAGGCCCUCAGGCAAUUCUUCUUCCCAGUCAGGAGAAACAACCAGGCUUUAUUUUCUCAAAAACUUAGGGACUUUUUACACCUCUCACCUAACUCCCAAGGCCAUUUCACUGGCAUCGGAGCCUCCUCCUUUAGGCUUCCCGUGUAUACUGAAGACCAGCUGAGGCAUCAGCAUGCAUUUGUGAAGGAGAUCGGUUGGACACCCACUCUUUGGUGCAGGAGAAGAGGCCACUUCACAGCAGGUGACUAUGAUUUCAGUCGUGUACUAGGAGGGGCAUGGUGUUUCCCUAACUACAGAGAGUUACCACAACACACAUGUAUCAUGCCUGCCUGGAUGCUGCCAUGCUCCUGCCUGGAG